rnacentral:rRNA from 1 species
UGGGGAAUUUUGGACAAUGGGCGAAAGCCUGAUCCAGCAAUGCCGCGUGUGUGAAGAAGGCCUUCGGGUUGUAAAGCACUUUUGUCCGGGAAAGAAAUCCUUGGCUCUAAUACAGUCGGGGGAUGACGGUACCGGAAGAAUAAGCACCGGCUAACUACGUGCCAGCAGCCGCGGUAAUACGUAGGGUGCAAGCGUUAAUCGGAAUUACUGGGCGUAAAGCGUGCGCAGGCGGUUUGCUAAGACCGAUGUGAAAUCCCCCGGGCUCAACCUGGGGAACUGCAUUGGUGACUGGCAGGCUAGAGUAUGGCAGAGGGGGGUAGAAUCCACGUGUAGCAGUGAAAUGCGUAGAGAUGUGGAGGAAUACCGAUGGCGAAGGCAGCCCCUGGGCCAAUACUGACGCUCAUGCACGAAAGCGUGGGGAGCAAACAGGAUUAGAUACCCUGGUAGUCCACGCCCUAAACGAUGUCAACUAGUUGUUGGGGAUUCAUUUCCUUAGUAACGUA